rnacentral:rRNA from 1 species
UACGGGGGAUGCAAGCGUUAUCCGGAAUCAUUGGGCGUAAAGCGCCUGUAGGUUGUUUAAUAAGUCUGUUGUUAAAGACUAGGGCUUAACCCUAGGAAAGCAAUGGAAACUACUAGACUAGAGUAUGGCAGGGGUAGAGGGAAUUUCUAGUGUAGCGGUGAAAUGCGUAGAUAUUAGAAAGAACACCAGUGGCGAAAGCGCUCUACUGGACCAUUACUGACACUCAGAGGCGAAAGCUAGGGUAGCAAAAGGGAUUAGAUACCCCUGUAGUCCUAGCCGUAAACGAUGGAUACUAGAUGUUGCAUGUUAUAUGCUGUAUCUUAGCUAACGCGUUAAGUAUCCCGCCUGGGGAGUACGCUCGCAAGGGUG